rnacentral:tRNA from 1 species
GGAGAGGUGACAGAGUGGUCGAUUGUGCAGCACUGGAAAUGCUGUGUGCGGGAAACCGUACCGGGGGUUCGAAUCCCUUCCUCUCCG